GACGAACGCUGGCGGCGUGCUUAACACAUGCAAGUCGAACGGAAAGGCCCUGCUUUUGUGGGGUGCUCGAGUGGCGAACGGAUGAGUAACACGUGAGUAACCUGCCCUUGACUUUGGGAUAACUUCAGGAAACUGGGGCUAAUACCGGAUAGGAGCUCCUGCUGCAUGGUGGGGGUUGGAAAGUUUCGGCGGUUGGGGAUGGACUCGCGGCUUAUCAGCUUGUUGGUGGGGUAGUGGCUUACCAAGGCUUUGACGGGUAGCCGGCCUGAGAGGGUGACCGGCCACAUUGGGACUGAGAUACGGCCCAGACUCCUACGGGAGGCAGCAGUGGGGAAUAUUGCACAAUGGGCGGAAGCCUGAUGCAGCAACGCCGCGUGCGGGAUGACGGCCUUCGGGUUGUAAACCGCUUUCGCCUGUGACGAAGCGUGAGUGACGGUAAUGGGUAAAGAAGCACCGGCUAACUACGUGCCAGCAGCCGCGGUGAUACGUAGGGUGCGAGCGUUGUCCGGAUUUAUUGGGCGUAAAGGGCUCGUAGGUGGUUGAUCGCGUCGGAAGUGUAAUCUUGGGGCUUAACCCUGAGCGUGCUUUCGAUACGGGUUGACUUGAGGAAGGUAGGGGAGAAUGGAAUUCCUGGUGGAGCGGUGGAAUGCGCAGAUAUCAGGAGGAACACCAGUGGCGAAGGCGGUUCUCUGGGCCUUUCCUGACGCUGAGGAGCGAAAGCGUGGGGAGCGAACAGGCUUAGAUACCCUGGUAGUCCACGCUGUAAACGGUGGGUACUAGGUGUGGGAUCCAUUCCACGGGUUCCGUGCCGUAGCUAACGCUUUAAGUACCCCGCCUGGGGAGUACGGCCGCAAGGCUAAAACUCAAAGGAAUUGACGGGGCCCCGCACAAGCGGCGGAGCAUGCGGAUUAAUUCGAUGCAACGCGUAGAACCUUACCUGGGUUUGACAUGGAUCGGGAGUGCUCAGAGAUGGGUGUGCCUCUUUUGGGGUCGGUUCACAGGUGGUGCAUGGCUGUCGUCAGCUCGUGUCGUGAGAUGUUGGGUUAAGUCCCGCGACGAGCGCAACCCUUGUUCACUGUUGCCGGCACGUUAUGGUGGGGACUCAGUGGAGACCGCCGGGGUCAACUCGGAGGAAGGUGGGGAUGACGUCAAGUCAUCAUGCCCCUUAUGUCCAGGGCUUCACGCAUGCUACAAUGGCUGGUACAGAGAGUGGCGAGCCUGUGAGGGUGAGCGAAUCUCGGAAAGCCGGUCUCAGUUCGGAUUGGGGUCUGCAACUCGACCUCAUGAAGUCGGAGUCGCUAGUAAUCGCAGAUCAGCAACGCUGCGGUGAAUACGUUCCCGGGGCU
rnacentral:rRNA from 1 species